CGUCGGUAACUUUCGGCUGAGCUGGGCGCUGGCGUUGACCUCUUAACAAAGAACAGGUCAUUGUCAAAAAGGAUGAGGAGUGCCUGCAGAAUGACAUACAACUGCAACAGAAACCUUCCAACACACCUUCCUUGGCUCGUUCAAGCAAUCUUCACUGAGCACAUACUCCCGUCUGUUACUGACUUCUACGCCACCUGCUAUCGGUUUGAAGAAAAUGAGGCAUAGCUUUUACCUUUCCAGAACUCACUGUUAAGUGUUUUUGAAAUCACUGGACUUUUCCAUGGCUGUUGGAAUAAAUUAGGCCUCCGUGAUGGCAGGUAGGGUGAUGGUGCUUUGGCUGUAGAUAUUACUAUCAGGGAUGAAGACUGUCUCCAUUGGUUACCCGCUCUAGUGGACAUAGGUACCUUUUUGUUUCUUCUGUACAUCUUUGGCUUGAAGUCAGAAGAUCUGGAUCUAAUAUUAGCUUUGCCAUUGACUAACACAUACAACCUGACUAACUAAUUCAUCCUGUGCAGGCUGAGUAACACCUUUGCUCAGCAUGAUUGCCGGCUUACACUGCAUUUGCUGAGUGAAUCGACAAAGACAUGAACACAAUAAAGAUACCAUGCCUUGAGUGACAGCGACCAUGUGGCCCAAACCAGUGCACGUCCCCAGGAAUUCCAGAACCAGCAGCCCUUCAGUGAACGCCAGCCAGGCCCAGGGCGUGACGUGAGAAACAGUAGCAAGCCUCCCGCUCCAGGUGCGGCCAGGAACCAGCAGGUGGCUGUGGUUGGGUGGCCCCCUUCA